rnacentral:rRNA from 1 species
UACGGAGGGUGCGAGCGUUGUCCGGAAUCACUGGGCGUAAAGGGCGCGUAGGCGGCAUGCCAAGCGUGUGGUGAAAGCCCGGGGCUCAACCCCGGGUCGGCCGUGCGGACUGGCGUGCUCGAGCACUGUAGGGGCGGGUGGAAUUCCGGGUGUAGCGGUGGGAAUGCGUAGAGUAUGCGGAGGAACGACCGAUGGCGCAAGGCAAUCCCCAUGGGGCCUGU